rnacentral:antisense_RNA from 3 species
AGAGAGGCUUCCACGACGGAAACGUUCUGGUGGCCUUUUUCUUUUUGC